UCCCCGUGAAGAAAUAUUCACACGUCCUACUUCCUGUCCAAGUCCCAGAGCCUGAAAAGGUGAACCCACUGGGGCUGGCUGGAGGAAAAGAGGAAGUUUUGUUCCAGAAGGAACUGUCUGAGGGAU